GACGAACGCUGGCGGCGUGCUUAACACAUGCAAGUCGAACGAUGAAGCCGGAGCUUGCUCUGGUGGAUUAGUGGCGAACGGGUGAGUAACACGUGAGUAACCUGCCCUUGACUCUGGGAUAAGCGUUGGAAACGACGUCUAAUACCGGAUACGAGCUAGGACCGCAUGGUCACUAGCUGGAAAGAAUUUCGGUCAAGGAUGGACUCGCGGCCUAUCAGUUAGUUGGUGAGGUAACGGCUCACCAAGACGACGACGGGUAGCCGGCCUGAGAGGGUGACCGGGAACACUGGGCCUGGGGCACGGCCCAGACUCCUACGGGAGGCAGCAGUGGGGAAUAUUGCACAAUGGGCGCAAGCCUGAUGCAGCAGCGCCGCGUGAGGGACGACGGCCUUCGGGUUGUAAACCUCUUUUAGCAGGGAAGAAGCGCAAGUGACGGUACCUGCAGAAAAAGCACCGGCUAACUACGUGCCAGCCGCCGCCGUAACAC
rnacentral:rRNA from 1 species